rnacentral:rRNA from 1 species
AUUGAACGCUGGCGGCAGGCCUAACACAUGCAAGUCGAGCGAGCGGCGGACGGGGGAGUAAUGUCUGGGAAACUGCCUGAUGGAGGGGGAUAACUACUGGAAACGGUAGCUAAUACCGCAUACCAUCAGAUGUGCCCAGAUGGGAUUAGCUAGUGGGUGGGGUAACGGUUCACCUAGGCGACGAUACCUCGCUGGUCUGAGAGGAUGACCAGCCACACUGGAACGGGGACACGGUCCAGACUCCGACGGGAGGCAGCAGUGGGGAAUAUUGCACAAUGGGGGCAAGCCUGAUGCAGCCAUGCCGCGUGUGUGAAGAAGGCCUUCGGGUUGUAAAGCACUUUCAGCGGGGAGGCGUUACCCGCAGAAGAAGCACCGGCUAACUCCGUGCCAGCAGCCGCGGUAAUUC